AGCACGGCUGCCAUCCAUGUCAGUUGUGAGCCUCUGCGCCGUCUUCCUGGCGUCUGGAGGCCGGGCAUGUGGCCCAUUUCAGUGUGUCGCGACCUGAUCGGCACCUGCACCACAGCGCCAAGCAGGUGGCUUUCGCCUUCGCUGGCACGUCCCACAAAACGUAGAAGCCGCCCCUGAUCCUGCCACAGGAGAUGACAGAAGAAGACUUUUUUCCAGAAAGAUGAUUGCAAAAAUGAAAAGCAAAACAACAAAGAAGCAAACCAAAAAUCAAACAAAAGAUCCACCAAGAAGAACACCAAAGAUGCCCACCCACAUCCUUGGGUAGCCAUGCAUAACCUCUGUCCCUGGGAGAGACCUGUAGCCCUAGAAGAUCACCCGGAAGGCGUGAUCCCUUGCACACAAUGAAGCCAGCUCCGGAAGGCGUGAUCCCUUGCACACAAUGAAGCCAGCUCCGCCUGCCAAAGAGAUGUCAGGAACGACAGCUGAAAAGAACGUUUCCGUUUCGGGCCGGGGGCACUGCCGUAUAGCAGUGCCUUGCAGAGAAGAACGUACCAGCUGCCAGAUGUGCUCCACGUAUGCUAGCUGCCCUCAGUCUCUCUGGGUCAGGGAGAAGGCCCAUCCAAGGGGGUAGACACAGGCUGCAGAGCUGGGAAGACAGAGAUCUCUUUGCCGCCUUCAGGGCAGAGUUUAGGAAUUACAGAUGCUCAAGGAAGAAUGAAGCAGGCUUGACGAAGCCUGGGGAGAUGCCUAGGGCUGGGCUGAGGGGUCCUCAGGAAGGAUCUCUUUCCAAGGAUCCUGACAGCAAUGCCCUGGAAUUAUUCUUCCCCAAGACCUGGGUCAAGAAACUUACCAGACAUUCUUAAAGAACUGAUAGCUCAGUGUGGUCCUCAAGAGAGGUUUGCAGACCUGUCCUGGGAGUGCGUGUGAACCGGUGGGUAAUGAAGCGCCUUCGCUGCUCGGGGCCACAGGGCCUUGGGGCGCUAGGAGCCAAGUAGGGCUUCCCCUGUGUAUCCUGCCACCAUGCCGGGCAGUCUGGGAAACGGAGAUAAGAACGCUU